AGAGAAUAUAGACAGUGGGUCAGGCAGAGAGAAUAUAGACAGUGGGUCAGGCAGAGAGAAUAUAGACAGUGUUAUGGGUCAGGCAGAGAGAAUAUAGACAGUGGGUCAGGCAGAGAGAAUAUAGACAGUGGGUCAGGCAGAGAGAAUAUCAGCACAGUUAUGGGUCAGGCAGAGAGAAUAUAGACAGUUAUGGGUCAGGCAGAGAGAAUAUAGACAGUGGGUCAGGCAGAGAGAAUAUAGACAGUGGGUCAGGCAGAGAGAAUAUAGACAGUGGGUCAGGCAGAGAGAAUAUAGACAGCCUUAUGGGUCAGGCAGAGAGAAUAUAGACAGUGGGUCAGGCAGAGAGAAUAUAGACAGUUAUGGGUCAGGCAGAGAGAAUAUAGACAGUUAUGGGUCAGGCAGAGAGAAUAUAGACAGUGGGUCAGGCAGAGAAUAUAGACCGUUAUG
ensembl:lncRNA